GACGGAGGAGGCUAGCGUUGUUCGGAAUUACUGGGCGUAAAGCGCACGCAGGUGGCAGGACAAGUCGGGUGUGAAAGCCCGGGGCUCAACCCCGGAUGUGCGCUCGGGACUGUCUUGCUAGAGACCGGAAGAGGAGAGCGGAAUUCCCAGUGUAGAGGUGAAAUUCGUAGAUAUUGGGAAGAACACCAGUGGCGAAGGCGGCUCUCUGGUCCGGUUCUGACACUCAAGUGCGAAAGCGUGGGGAGCAAACAGG
rnacentral:rRNA from 1 species